CCCAGUUACUGAUAGCAACAGUAGUCUAGAGGGCAAUUUUUUCUGGACUGCAACUUCAGAUAUAAUUAGUACUCUCAGGAACAAACACCCUACUCUCCCCAAGGGAAAAAGUUGGCAAAGCGAAAUGGUGGCAUCUAUCUCCUCGUUAAAACAUCAGAUUGACAAAGUCCAUGUGCUCCUCUGUUUCAAAAAGUUCCAGCUCUUUUAAACAUUGACAUUCUUAUCAUUUUGUGUGCUUGGUGCUGGCCACUGGCUAACAGUGUCUGUGUGGAUUUCUCUUUGAGUAUCUUUCCCCAUCAACUGAUAAGCGAGUCCCUCCUUGAGUUUCUGGAGGAGGGCGCUGCUUCAGAGAGAAAGCUGAGACGGGACCUCAUUUGCUUAAGUGAAUCCUCUAUGGUUUCUCUGCACUGUUCCUCCUGUGGAAAGAUCCUGUAAGGGAACCUGCUCACUUUUUUAAAGACCACCAACAUUCCAAGGUAGGAGUGGAGGGAGCAUUUCAGAUGGGAAGGGCUGUACCUCCUUUAUUCUCAUCGUCAUUACCACCCCUGCAGGAGACAGACCCGCCCCCAGGGGGAAAGGGGAUUCUCCACAGAAGCAGAGCCAAUCAGGGCUAUCUAUCUAUAUCAGGGCUGCUAUGAAAUGAGAAACUUUGCUCUACCACACCCUUCUGCCAUGACGUUCCUGC
ensembl:lncRNA